rnacentral:rRNA from 2 species
UCUCCUGGAAAACGGGUGGUAAUGCCGGAUGCUCCGACUCCUCGCAUGGGGUGUCGGGAAAGAUUUCAUCGGUAUGGGAUGGGGUCGCGUCCUAUCAGGUAGUCGGCGGGGUAACGGCCCACCGAGCCUACGACGGGUAGCCGGCCUGAGAGGGCGACCGGCCACAUUGGGACUGAGAUACGGCCCAGACUCCUACGGGAGGCAGCAGUGGGGAAUAUUGCACAAUGGGCGCAAGCCUGAUGCAGCGACGCCGCGUGCGGGAUGACGGCCUUCGGGUUGUAAACCGCUUUUGAUCGGGAGCAAGCCUUCGGGUGAGUGUACCUUUCGAAUAAGCACCGGCUAACUACGUGCCAGCAGCCGCGGUAAUACGUAGGGUGCAAGCGUUAUCCGGAAUUAUUGGGCGUAAAGGGCUCGUAGGCGGUUCGUCGCGUCCGGUGUGAAAGUCCAUCGCUUAACGGUGGAUCUGCGCCGGGUACGGGCGGGCUGGAGUGCGGUAGGGGAGACUGGAAUUCCCGGUGUAACGGUGGAAUGUGUAGAUA